UCGUAACAAGGUUUCCGUAGGUGAACCUGCGGAAGGAUCAUUGUCGAGACCUGCAGCAGCAGAGCUACCGCGAACACGUGACGCACGGCGGUGGCUCCUUCGGGAGCCGCCUUUGCCGUCCCCCGCCGGCCCCGGCCGCGGGGGUGCGGCCGAAACAACAAACCCCGGCGCGAAUUGCGCCAAGGAAAACGAACGAAGAGAGCCCCGCGUGGCGUCCCGUUCGCGUGCGCGCCCCGCGUGGUGACUUCAAUAAUAAAACACGACGACUCUCGGCAACGGAUAUCUCGGCUCUCGCAUCGAUGAAGAACGUAGCGAAAUGCGAUACUUGGUGUGAAUUGCAGAAUCCCGUGAACCAUCGAGUCUUUGAACGCAAGUUGCGCCCGAAGCCAUUAGGCCGAGGGCACGUCUGCCUGGGCGUCACGCAACUCGUCGCCCACCGGCCCCGCAAUGGGGCUGCCGGUGGCGGAGGAUGGCCUCCCGCGAGCUCGUCCCGCGGCCGGCCCAAAGGCGGAGUCAGCCCGUGGGCGGGUUGUCACGACAGGUGGUGGCCGUAAGCUCAUCGCGUCCUGCCGUGCUUGGACCCGUUCAUGGCCGCGUCUCCCACCGACCCUAGAGGCCCCUUGCCUUUUGCUCGGUGCCUCGACCGCGACCCCAGGUCAGGCGGGACUACCCGCUGAGUUUAAGCAUA
rnacentral:rRNA from 1 species